AAUUAACAAGCUACUAAGGGCAAUCGGUGGAUGCCUAGGCACCAAGAGCCGAUGAAGGACGUUAUAGCCUGCGAUAAGCCACGGGGAGCUGGCAAAUAAGCUUCGAUCCGUGGAUCUCCGAAUAGGGAAACCUCGAAUACCGGAGGUAAAAGUCCGGCGACCUCUACCUGAACACAUAGGGUAGUUGGAGGGAACGUGGGGAAGUGAAACAUCUUAGUACCCACAGGAAGAGAAAACAACAGUGAUUCCGUCAGUAGUGGCGAGCGAACGCGGAAGAGGCCAAACCGUACCUGUGUGAUAGCUGACAGGCGUUGCAGAUACGGUGUUGUGGGGUCAUUCAGACCAUGCUGUCACUGGUCAAGAAGUCAAAAAUGAUCGUUUAAGACAAAGCGUUUUGGGAUAGCGCGGCAGAGAAGGUAACACCCCUGUAGUCGUAAGACGAUCACUUCUGAGUGAUACCCCAAGUAACACGGAACCCCUGAAAUUCUGUGUGAAUCCGGCGGGACCACCCGCUAAGCCUAAAUACUCCUUGGUGACCGAUAGCGGACAAGUACCGUGAGGGAAAGGUGAAAAGUACCCCGGGAGGGGAGUGAAAUAGUACCUGAAACCGAUUGCCUACAAUCCGUUGGAGCCCGAAAGGGUGACAGCGUGCCUUUUGAAGAAUGAGCCUGCGAGUUAGCGGUAUGUGGCAAGGUUAACCCGUGUGGGGAAGCCGUAGCGAAAGCAAGUCCGAACAGGGCGCUUGAGUCGCAUGCCCUAGACCCGAAGCGAAGUGAUCUAUCCAUGGCCAGGUUGAAGCGACGGUAAGACGUCGUGGAGGACCGAACCCACCUAGGUUGAAAACUGGGGGGAUGAGCUGUGGAUAGGGGUGAAAGGCCAAUCAAACUUCGUGAUAGCUGGUUCUCCCCGAAAUGCAUAUAGGUGCAGCGUCGCGUGUUUCUUCCCGGAGGUAGAGCACUGGAUAGUCUAGGGGGCCCACAAGCUUACCGAAAUUAACCAAACUCCGAAUACCGGUAAGUGAAACGCGGCAGUGAGACUGUGAGGGAUAAGCUUCAUAGUCGAGAGGGAAACAGCCCAGAUCAUCAGCUAAGGUCCCUAAGCGAUAACUAAGUGGAAAAGGAUGUGGAGUUGCGUAGACAACCAGGAGGUUGGCUUGGAAGCAGCCAUCCUUGAAAGAGUGCGUAAUAGCUCACUGGUCAAGUGAUUCUGCGCCGACAAUUUAGCGGGGCUCAAGUUAUCCACCGAAGCUAUGGCAUCCGUAAGGAUGGGUAGGGGAGCGUCGUGUGUACGAUGAAGCGGCGGGGUGACCCAGCCGUGGAGAGCGCACGAGUGAGAAUGCAGGCAUGAGUAGCGAAUGACGGGUGAGAAACCCGUCCGCCGAAUAACCAAGGGUUCCAGGGUCAAGCUAAUCUUCCCUGGGUAAGUCGGGACCUAAGGCGAGGCCGACAGGCGUAGUCGAUGGACAACGGGUUGAUAUUCCCGUACCGGCGUAUGCACGAUCCUGCCGAGGCGAAUAAUGCUAAGAACGGAAGCUGACGGAUGUCUUCGGACUGAAACUCGGCGACCCUUUGACCCAAGUUCGUAUUAGGCAAGCUGCGGAGGGACGCAAGAAGGUAGCCCACCCACGGUGUUGGAUCCGUGGUCAAGUGCGUAGGGCGAAGGCUAGGUAAAUCCGGUCUUCACGUGCCUGAAACAUGACGUGUCUGCAGCCUUCGGGCUGUGGUGUGGGUGAUCCUAUGCUGCCUAGAAAAUCUUCGUGAGCGAGUUCAUGCGCUGCCCGUACCCCAAACCGACACAGGUGGUUGGGUAGAGAAUACCAAGGCGAUCGAGAUAAUCGUGGUGAAGGAACUCGGCAAAAUGCCCCCGUAACUUCGGAAUAAGGGGGGCCCGAGGUGUUCACGCACUGAGGGCCGCAGAGACCACAGGAAAGCGACUGUUUAUCAAAAACACAGGUCCGUGCCAAGUCGCAAGACGAUGUAUACGGACUGACUCCUGCCCGGUGCUGGAAGGUUAAGGGGAAGUGUCAGCUUCGGCAAAGCACUGAACUUAAGCCCCAGUAAACGGCGGUGGUAACUAUAACCAUCCUAAGGUAGCGAAAUUCCUUGUCGGGUAAGUUCCGACCUGCACGAAUGGAGCAACGACUUUCCUACUGUCUCCACCACGAACUCGGCGAAAUUGCACUACGAGUAAAGAUGCUCGUUACGCGCAGCAGGACGGAAAGACCCCGGGACCUUUACUAUAGUUUGGUAUUGGUGAUUGGGAUAACCUGUGUAGGAUAGGUGGGAGACUUUGAAGCAGCCACGCCAGUGGUUGUGGAGUCAAUGUUGAAAUACCACUCUGGUUGUUCUAGUUAUCUAACCUAGGUCCGUAAUCCGGAUCAGGGACAGUUCCUGAUGGGUAGUUUGACUGGGGCGGUCGCCUCCUAAAGAGUAACGGAGGCGCCCAAAGGUUCCCUCAGCCUGGUUGGCAAUCAGGUAUCGAGUGUAAGUGCACAAGGGAGCUUGACUGUGAGAGAGGCAUCUCAAGCAGGGACGAAAGUCGGGACUAGUGAUCUGACGGUGGCAUGUGGAAGCGCCGUCACUCAACGGAUAAAAGGUACCCCGGGGAUAACAGGCUGAUCUUGCCCGAGCGUUCAUAGCGACGGCAUGGUUUGGCACCUCGAUGUCGGCUCGUCGCAUCCUGGGGCUGGAGCCGGUCCCAAGGGUUGGGCUGUUCGCCCAUUAAAGCGGCACGCGAGCUGGGUUCAGAACGUCGUGAGACAGUUCGGUCCCUAUCCGCUGCGCGCGUAGGAGUCUUGAGGAGAGCUGUCCUUAGUACGAGAGGACCGGGACGGACGAACCUCUGGUGUGCCAGUUGUUCCGCCAGGAGCACGGCUGGUUGGCCACGUUCGGAAAUGAUAACCGCUGAAAGCAUCUAAGCGGGAAGCAUUCUCCAAGAUUAGGGCUCCCACCAUAUGGUUAAGGACCCCGGUAGCCCACCGGGUUGAUAGGUCGGAUGUGGAAGUGCAGUAAUGUAUGGAGCUGACCGAUACUAAUAGUCCGAGGGCUUGUUAUAA
rnacentral:rRNA from 1 species